CCAUCCCAAAUAUCCCUAAACAUUUGCAAACCUAAUUUCUACUCAAAAUCAACCGCACACAUCCCUUUCUCAUCCUUUUCCUCUUUCAAGCAAAGCUCCAAUAUUCAUCAGCCAUGGCAGAGCAUUGUCCUUCCAUUUCCGAGUAAGAAUUGUCACCUAUAACAUCCCCUCAUACCUCCGCUCUGAUGGGGUCAACACAAGAGGCCAAAACACUUCUGAAAUUUAUGAGAAAAUCAACUCUAGGAUAUUCAAUUUUGAUUUCAAACGACAAAUUCAUAUAGAAACACCGCCCCCCACCCCCCCCCCCCCACCCCCCACCCCCAAAAAAAAAAAAAGAGAUGAAAGCAUAGUUGUUUCUUCCUCCUCUAAAUAUUUGCUUCAAGUUCGUCUUCGGACAAGGUUUUUGGCCGCCUCUCCCUUCUAAACUUCUCAAAAUACCCUGUUCGAUAGUAAUUAUUUUUCAAAAUAUCUACCCUUAUAAAUCACCUUUUUCUUUCCUGUCCAUUUUUAGCCGUUGGAGAGACUUACUAUAGUUUCACUAUCAACUAUUGCUUUAAGAAUUUUGAGCCGCCACUUGAUGCUUAGAAAAUACUCUCAUCUCUUUCAAAGUUUUUCUUUCUGUCUCAGUAAACUUUAGCUGUAACAGAAUCAUUUGGAACUCAUUCGUGUUGAGUUUUGGAUUUGUUGAUAACGAGGGAGUAGGUUCGAUACCGUCGACACCCAAUUCACUGCACCCACAAAAGUUAUUUUGGAGGAAAGGGCACUUGUUUCAUCAAUUUGACAACUUGGUCAAGUGAAGAAGAUUGGAGAAAAAGAUUUUGGCGAACUUGAAACUUGAUUUUGGAGACGUGUAUGAAGCGGAAAAGGUACACCCAGAUGAUAUGAAGUUAUUACAGAGGAUGUUCCGGCAGAGUUGGCAAGCUCCAGUUGCUCCCGGAGUGCUGCCGAGUCAGGGUUUGUACGUAUGUUUUUCCGGAUUGAUGUUAGAGACUUUGCAGACAGAGUCGUGGGUAUUGGUUAUCAGUCUGUAAGCGGCUCCAUCAGCCGAUAUGUCAUUCUGUGUUAUGUAGUAAAUUUUAUAUAAUUACGGAUUUUGCCUAAAAUUGAGAACGAUAAAAGAUGGAUUUCGAAAGCUUAAUAUAUAUUUUACUUUUAUCUGAUUUUCAGAGUCUGAAGAAAUUAUGUGUGAAAUAAGAAUCUGUGGGUUCGCUCGGCUUCGGAUACGGGGUCGGGUGCCCAUCACACCCUAGCGGAAUUGGGGUGUGACACGAAGAGUCUCGGGUUGAGACUCGACGUCAUCGCAAAAUCUGAAAGUGCAUCCACUAUACCACUCAUAUCUCUUGUUCUUUCUCGAAACUCAUCCGAACAGAAGAAAACGAAGAGGAGCGAAAGGAAAUGACAAACAAUCAAAUAUACUCUUCCAUUAGUUGAUUAUUAUGAACAUCAUACUUGAUAGCUUUUAUUUUUCUCUUUAGUUGUUACCAUGGAUACUUGUUGGUUUGUUUUGGUGAUUUGUUUGAAGCUU